rnacentral:rRNA from 1 species
UACGGAGGGGGCUAGCGUUGUUCGGAAUUACUGGGCGUAAAGCGCACGUAGGCGGUUUCUUAAGUCGGGGGUGAAAUCCUGGAGCUCAACUCCAGAACUGCCUUCGAUACUGGGAAACUUGAGUCCGGGAGAGGUGAGUGGAACUGCGAGUGUAGAGGUGAAAUUCGUAGAUAUUCGCAAGAACACCAGUGGCGAAGGCGGCUCACUGGCUCGGUACUGACGCUGAGGAGCGACAGCGUGGGGAGCAAACAGG